rnacentral:rRNA from 1 species
AAUGAACGUUGGCAGCGUGGAUUAGGCAUGCAAGUCGAGCGACAAGGUCCUGGACUGGAGGAGCGGCAACGGGUAGGUAAUACAUCGGAACGUACCUCACGUCUGGGAUAGCCACGGGAAACUGUGGGUAAUACUGGAUAAUCUCACCACUUGUGAAGAGUGGUGAGCAAAGGUCCGCCGCGUGAGGAGCGGCCGAUGCGAUACUAGAUAGUUGGUGGGGUAAUGGCCCUACCAAGUCUAAGAUGUCUAGGGGGUGUGAGAGCAUGGCCCCCACCACUGGGACUGAGACACUGCCCAGACACCUACGGGUGGCUGCAGUCGAGAAUCUUUGGCAAUGGGCGCAAGCC